AUAGUCUGAUCAUAGAUUGAGGUGAUGUGGUGACAAGGUAAAUGAAACUGUUUGAUUGAGGUGAUGUGGUGACAAGGUAAAUGAAACUGUUUGAUUGAGGUGAUGGGGUGGCAAGGUAAUGAAACUGUUUGAUUGAGGUGAUGGGGUGACAAGGUAAUGAAACUGUUUGGUUGAGGUGAUGGGGUGACAAGGUAAUGAAACUGUUUGAUUGAGGUGAUGGGGUGGCAAGCUUAUGAAUCUGUUUGAUUGAGGUGAUGGGGUGACAUGGUAAUGAAACUGUUUGAUUGAGGUGAUGGGGUGACAAGGUAAUGAAACUGUUUGAUUGAGGUGAUGGGGUGACAAGGUAAUGAAACUGUUUGAUUGAGGUUAUGGGGUGGCGAGGUAAUGAAACUGUUUGAUUGAGGUGAUGGGGUGGCAAGCUUAUGAAUCUGUUUGAUUGAGGUGAUGGGGUGACAAGGUAAUGAAACUGUUUGAUUAAGGUGGCGGGGUGACAAGGUAAUGAAACUGUUUGAUUAAGGUGGCGGGGUGACAAGGUAAUGAAACUGUUUGAUUAAGGUGGCGGGGUGACAAGGUAAUGAAAAUGUUUGAUUAAGGUGGCGGGAUGACAAGGUAAUAAAACUGUUUAUUUGAGGUGAUGGGGUGACAAAGUAAUGAAACUGUUUGAUUGAGGUGAUGGGGUGGCAAGGUAAUGAAACUUUUUGAUUGAGGUGAUGGGGUGACAAGGUAAUGAAACUGUUUGAUUGAGGUGAUGGGGUGGCGAGGUAAUGAAACUGUUUUAUUUAGGUGAUGGGGUGGCGAGGUAAUGAAACUGUUUGAUUGAGGUGAUGGGGUGACAAGGUAAUGAAACUGUUUGGCUAAGCUGAUGGGGUGACAAGGUAUGGAGACUGUUUGGUUGAGGUGUUGGAGUUUCAAGGUAAUGAGAAAUGAGGUAAGUAAAAAUAGGUAUGACAUGGAGGUAGUACUGUCGUAAAAUAUAACAUACUAGAGACACACUAGAGACAUUCUAUAGACAUACUAGAGACAUACUAAAGACAUACUAUACUAGAGACAUACUAGAGACAUACAAUAGACAUUCUAGAGACAACUGUUUAUUGGCAACGUGAAAAUAACGUAACCAAAAUGUGAUGACAAUGAGAUGAUAAUGUAAUAGUAAUGGCCC
rnacentral:sRNA from 1 species